rnacentral:rRNA from 1 species
CCUACGGGGUGCUGCAGUGAGGAAUAUUGGUCAAUGGCCGGAAGGCUGAACCAGCCAUGCAGCGUGAAGGUCAGUGCCCUAUGGGCGUUAAACUUCUUUUGUGCGGGAGCAAUAAUGGUCACGUGUGGCCAGACGAGAGUACCGUACGAAUAAGCAUCGGCUAACUCCGUGCCAGCAGCCGCGGUUAUACGGGGGAUGCAAGCGUUAUCCGGAUUUAUUGGGGUUAAAGGGUGCGUAGGCUGUGAGGUAAGUCAGCGGUGAAAUGCCCCCGCUCAACGGGGUGAAGUGCCAUUGAUACUGCCUUGCUGGAAUGCGGAUGCCGUGGGAGGAAUGUGUGGUGUAGCGGUGAAAUGCAUAGAUAUCACACAGAACACCGAUUGCGAAGGCAUCUCACGAAUCCGCGAUUGACGCUGAUGCACGAAAGCGUGGGUAUCAAACAGGAUUAGAUACCCUUGUAGUC